ACGGGAAUGGUCACUUACAACU
rnacentral:miRNA from 1 species